GACGAACGCUGGCGGCGUGCUUAACACAUGCAAGUCGAACGGAAAGGCCCCCUUGUGGGGUACUCGAGUGGCGAACGGGUGAGUAACACGUGAGUAACCUACCCUUGACUUUGGGAUAACUUCAGGAAACUGGGGCUAAUACCGGAUAGGAGCUCCUGCUGCAUGGUGGGGGUUGGAAAGUUUCGGCGGUUGGGGAUGGACUCGCGGCUUAUCAGCUUGUUGGUGGGGUAGUGGCUCACCAAGGCUUUGACGGGUAGCCGGCCUGAGAGGGUGACCGGCCCCAUUGGCCGUGAGGUACGCCCCAUCCCCCUUCGGACGCCAUCAGUGGGGUAUUUUUCGCAGUGGUCUGGAGCCUGAUGCAGCACCCCCCUGCGGGGUAUCACGCCCUUUGUUUUGUAACCCUUUUUCCCCUGUCCCGUAGCGUGGGUACCGUUAAUUGUUAAAGAGCCCCCCUCUAUCUACGCC
rnacentral:rRNA from 1 species